AGUAUCUGUUCAUGUGACCCGUGGACUUCCCUUUGUCAUCCUAUGCCUGAGAAUAUAUGAAUGGGGCUGGGAAGGCAAAGGGACGUUCAACUGUCAUCACUAGC
rnacentral:pre_miRNA from 13 species